rnacentral:rRNA from 1 species
UGCGCAGGCGGUUAUGUAAGACAGGUGUGAAAUCCCCGGGCUUAACCUGGGAACUGCAUUUGUGACUGCAUAGCUAGAGUACGGUAGAGGGGGAGUGGAAUUCCGCGUGUAGCAGUGAAAUGCGUAGAUAUGCGGAGGAACACCGAUGGCGAAGGCAAUCCCCUGGACCUGUACUGACGCUCAUGCACGAAAGCGUGGGGAGCAAACA